AGUCGACGAUGAAUCUUCUAGCUUGCUAGAAGUGGAUUAGUGGCGCACGGGUGAGUAAUGCAUAGGUUAUGUGCCCUUUAGUCUGGGAUAGCCACUGGAAACGGUGAUUAAUACUGGAUACUCCCUACGGGGGAAAGUUUUUCGCUAAAGGAUCAGCCUAUGUCCUAUCAGCUUGUUGGUGAGGUAAUGGCUCACCAAGGCUAUGACGGGUAUCCGGCCUGAGAGGGUGAUCGGACACACUGGAACUGAGACACGGUCCAGACUCCUACGGGAGGCAGCAGUAGGGAAUAUUGCUCAAUGGGGGAAACCCUGAAGCAGCAACGCCGCGUGGAGGAUGAAGGUUUUAGGAUUGUAAACUCCUUUUGUUAGAGAAGAUUAUGACGGUAUCUAACGAAUAAGCACCGGCUAACUCCGUGCCAGCAGCCGCGGUAAUACGGAGGGUGCAAGCGAUACUCGGAGUCACUGGGCGUAAAGAGUGCGUAGGCGGGGUAAUAAGUCAGAUGUGAAAUCCUGUAGCUUAACUACAGAACUGCAUUUGAAACUGUUACUCUGGAGUGUGGGAGAGGUAGGUGGAAUUCUUGGUGUAGGGGUAAAAUCCGUAGAGAUCAAGAGGAAUACUCAUUGCGAAGGCGACCUGCUGGAACAUUACUGACGCUGAUGCACGAAAGCGUGGGGAGCAAACAGGAUUAGAUACCCUGGUAGUCCACGCCCUAAACGAUGGAUGCUAGUUGUUGCCUUGCUUGUCAGGGCAGUAAUGCAGCUAACGCAUUAAGCAUCCCGCCUGGGGAGUACGGUCGCAAGAUUAAAACUCAAAGGAAUAGACGGGGACCCGCACAAGCGGUGGAGCAUGUGGUUUAAU
rnacentral:rRNA from 1 species